AGUUCGGAAUCGAUAACCGCUGAAAGCAUCUAAGCGGGAAGCGAGCCUUGAGAUGAGUUUUCCCUGGCACUAUAAGUGUCCUAAAGGGUUGUCGUAGACUACGACGUUGAUAGGCAGGGUGUGUAAGUGCUGCGAGGCAUUGAGCUAACCUGUACUAAUUGCCCGUGAGGCUUAACCAUACAACACCCAAGGGGUUU
rnacentral:rRNA from 1 species